UUCAGAAGGAAUGGUACCGGCUCCUUUUUGUACCUCUGGUGCAAUUCUUUCAGCCCUGUUUUACAGCUCACAGAGGUUAAUUAAUUGACCAGUGCCUCUGAUCUGGAAAGUGAUGGACUCAGGCUGAUAGCACAGGCAGCCUGACUCCACAGCUCAACUAUUAAACACUACUCUCAUCACCCCACAUGGCCUGAAUUUUCUGCUCCUGAAUUCAAACAUUAAAAUGGUGGUAUAUCAGUACUGGGAUUUAUGAGGACAAUGUGAUUAAUUUAAAUGCCUUUUGGAGCAAAUAGGAAGUAUCUUAUUCCAAUUUUUUGAAGAUAAAGUGCAUGGUCCUGAACACAACAGAGGUGGUUACAAGAAGAAAUAAAAUGUUGGCUGGCAGAAGCAGCAGGGAGGAAGAUUUCAUAUUGAAGACUAACUAGUUCUGAGACGUUUUGGAUGUCUUCUUGCAAACAAAACAGAAUGCAACUGAGGAAAUGGCUGUUGCAAUUCAGCAAGCUUUCUGUUUUUCUCAUGCAUGAGAAAAAUGCAUUUCAGCUGAAAACAGUAUUAUGAAGGAGAAGUACUUCAAAAUAAAACACUUUACUCAACCCAAAAGACUUACUAUAAGUUCUCAAACAGUAGCUGCCACUUCCAGCUGGGAGAGAAAUGAGAGCUCUGUUCAUGGUGAUUCAGUAUCUCCAGAAUCCAUCACCACUGCUGACCUCCCACUCCAUGUCUCCAAGUGCUCUGCUAUAUCUGCCACCAGCACCUGCCACGUCCAGACUUUGGAAGGUUAUAAUAAAACCUCUGUUCUACGAUCUGCCUUCUGCUUCGACAUCCUCACUCCCCACAAACAAUUCUAAUAAACAGCAAU
rnacentral:lncRNA from 1 species